UACGGAGGGAGCUAGCGUUGUUCGGAAUUACUGGGCGUAAAGCGCACGUAGGCGGCUUUGUAAGUUAGAGGUGAAAGCCUGGGGCUCAACCCCAGAAUUGCCUUUAAGACUGCAUCGCUUGAAUCCAGGAGAGGUGAGUGGAAUUCCGGGUGUAGAGGUGAAAUUCGUAGAUAUUCGGAAGAACACCAGUGGCGAAGGCGGCUCACUGGACUGGUAUUGACGCUGAGGUGCGAGAGCGUGGGGAGCAAACAGG
rnacentral:rRNA from 1 species